GUAUUAACCCUGCCUUCUGGAAUAUCAAAGUUAGCUGGCUGAUGUAUUAACCCUGCCUUCUGGAAUAUCAAAGUUAGCUGGCGGAUGUAUUAACCCUGCCUUCUGGAAUACCCCACAGCUCUUAUGGUGUCUAAAGGCCAGUGGGUUUACUGAUACUGUCUGUUAGCUCAAAUGACUCCCCUGUUCCCUAUAUAGUGCACUAUUGGCCAUAAGUAGUGCACUACACUUUAUAGUAGUGCAUGUGGUGGUGUUGGAGAAACACUGGCUCAGGGUUUCUUGGAUCUAUAUCAUACAAAUACAGGUCAAUACAUAUUGGAUGAUGAUGAACAAACCAACCUGUAAUGGCAUCUGUGUUUGGGAGAGAUGUAGGUAGGGCUUCAUUUUGGGACGACUAUUUAUUUUUAUUGUCUGAGAUUUGUGUAUUAACUGAUUGAACUCCUCAAUGUGUACAAUGUCAUAUUUCGCCUGCCUGGUUUGGCCUUUGAGGUUUGAUAGUACAAUGUUGUGAUUAUAAUUUAUUUUCUUUUUUAACUGGAAGUCAUGGGUUUUGGGUGGAUAUUGGUUGGGACGCUAAUGUUGUUGAAAGAUUUUCUGGAAGUCUGAGAUGCUUUUUGCUUUGUUGGAGAGGGAAAUUUGUAGUGACGGUGUCAAUAGAGGAUUCUCUUACAGUACCUUCAGUGUUGCCCGGUCUGAUACAAGUCUUCUUUAUUGAGCGUGAAUUGGGACAUUUGAUCUGGGUCAUGUUCAUUAGGCACCAAAUAUAGAAUAAGACGGAUUCAAACUAGGAGGGACUACCUGGACUUUGUCCAAUAAGGAACCCUUAUUUUCACUUUCCGUUGCAGAAUGUUUUGAAAAGUUUUUGUUGUGUACCCUAAUGGACAUGACGUUGGUUUUAAUGGGGCUGUUUUUAGAGGAAGUGUUAAUGGGGAAUGUGUGUGAAUGGUUUUGUGGUAAGUUUUAAAGAGAUGGGUGUAUUUUUUUGAAAAAGAAAUUAUACAUGAAAUGACAGAUUUACCGGAAGCUUUCUGCUGAGGUUUUCAAGAUGGCUUUUUUUUACUCUUUUUAUAUUAUCUGUGCUGGUUAUGUUAUUCCACUGCUUUUAAAAAAAACUUUGGCCCCUGUCUUUUCUCUCUGUUACCGGAAGGUUUUCAGCCAAUCAAGGCCCAACACAUUUUUAUUUUUUUUAAGUGUCAUUUUGAAAAGCUGAAGGGUCAUCUGGCCAUUAGUGGUUGAUACACACUGAGUCUUGCUGGAAACAGUUUUGCUAAUGUGCGAUCAUCUUUAUGAUGUGAGUCAGUUCUAGAUUACAUGAUACAACAUGUGGGCAUUAUCUUUUAAUCUCCCUUAUUAUUUUUGUGUUACGUGUGUCUCUUGUAUGUUGAAAGUCUUUGGUUUUGUCAGCCAAUGUUGACCAUGGUUUUAAAUGUUUACACAUCAACUGUACAGUACUACUAGUUUUUCAGUUUAUUUUUGUUCAGUCUAUCUGUGAAUAACAACAGCAUGGGUAUGUGUCCCAAAUGGCACCCUAUUCCCUAUAUAGAAUAUUCUAUAUGGCACCUUAUUCCAAAAUGGCACUAUUCCCUAUCUACUUUAGAACAGGGCCCUAUUCCCUAUAUAGUGUACUAUUUUUGAGCAGAGCUCUGUGCCCUGGUCAGAAGUAGUGCAUUACAUUUUG
rnacentral:lncRNA from 1 species